rnacentral:rRNA from 1 species
AGAGUUGAUCAUGGCUCAGGAUGAACGCUAGCGAUAGGCCUAACACAUGCAAGUCGAGGGGCAGCACAUGAAGUAGCAAUACGGAUGGUGGCGACCGGCGCACGGGUGAGUAACGCGUAUGCAACCUGCCUACAACAGGGGAAUAACCCGUUGAAAGACGGACUAAUACCCCAUAACACAGGGAUCCCGCAUGGGAAUAUUUGUUAAAGAUUUAUCGGUUGUAGAUGGGCAUGCGUUCCAUUAACUGGUUGGUGAGGUAACGGCUCACCAAGGCAACGAUGGAUAGGGGAACUGAGAGGUUUAUCCCCCACACUGGUACUGAGACACGGACCAGACUCCUACGGGAGGCAGCAGUGAGGAAUAUUGGUCAAUGGACGCAAGUCUGAACCAGCCACGUCGCGUGAAGGAAGACGGCCCUACGGGUUGUAAACUUCUUUUGUAAGGGAAUAAAGUGCAGUACGUGUACUGUUUUGCAUGUACCUUACGAAUAAGGAUCGGCUAAUUCCGUGCCAGCAGCCGCGGUAAUACGGAGGAUCCGAGCGUUAUCCGGAUUUAUUGGGUUUAAAGGGUGCGCAGGCGGGAGAUUAAGUCGGCGGUGAAAUUUUGCAGCUCAACUGUAAAAGUGCCUUCGAAACUGGUUUCCUUGAGUGUGGAUGAAGUAGGCGGAAUUUGUGGUGUAGCGGUGAAAUGCAUAGAUAUCACGAGGAACUCCGAUUGCGCAGGCAGCUUACUAAACCAUAACUGACGCUCAGGCACGAAGGCGUGGGGAUCAAACAGGAUUAGAUACCCUGGUAGUC